GCAGUGGGGUGUCAGCCACAGUCGCGGAACCUGGCAGAGGCGCCAAGGCAGGCGAAGGAGAAGGGAGCUGUGUGGUGGGAGAGAGAAGGGACUGGGUGAGCUCUGCGUGGAGGCUGUUGGAGUGCGUGAGCUGGAGGCGCUGAACUUGGAGUAGGAAGUGUCAUGGUGAAGGGGAGAGAUUCUACACCAAAACAACCCCGAAACAAAAAAUGGAAUUUCAUUCAUCCCCUUGAGAUACUGCAUAGCUAGUGUUUUCCUUCAGGUUCCCAGGGCAGACUCUUCAGCCUUCCCAUGCAGACCCUCUGGCUUUCUGACAUGGUCUUUUCAGUGAGCUCCAGGCCUUCAACUUUCAACUGGAUCUUCUGACUCUCCAGUGCACAGAUGGCCAUUUUGCACUCUUCCACCCUGAAUCUAUAGAUGGCUACUGUAAGCUUACUUAAUAAAUCCUUUCUAUGUCAUUAUAUAUAUCUGUCAGCAAGAAUGCCAUCACCAAAUGCAGCCCCGCAAAACCUUGACCAAGACUGUUAGCCAAAAUAAAACUCUUCAUAUGAAACUUGCCUAGUUUUUG